rnacentral:rRNA from 1 species
CACGGGGGGAGCAAGCGUUGUUCGGAAUCACUGGGCGUAAAGGGCGUGUAGGCGGUCAAGUAAGUGGGAUGUGAAAUCCCCCGGCUUACCCGGGGACCGGCAUCCCAUACUGCUUGGCUUGAGUACGGGAGAGGAUGUGGGAAUUCCUGGUGUAGCGGUGAAAUGCGUAGAUAUCAAGAGGAACACCGGUGGCGAAGGCGCACAUCUGGCCCGAUACUGACGCUAAAGCGCGAAAGCUAGGGGAGCAAACGGG